AACGUCCUGCCAAACCCCUCCCGC
rnacentral:siRNA from 1 species